rnacentral:rRNA from 1 species
CACGUGGGUAACCUGCCCAAUAGAUCGGGGUAACACCUGGAAACAGAUGCUAAUACCGGAUAACAACAGAUGAUGCCUAUCAACUGUUUAAAAGAUGGUUCUGCUAUCACUCUUGGAUGGACCUGCGGUGCAUUAGCUAGUUGGUAGGGUAACGGCCUACCAAGGCGAUGAUGCAUAGCCGAGUUGAGAGACUGAUCGGCCACAUUGGGACUGAGACACGGCCCAAACUCCUACGGGAGGCAGCAGGC